UUCACAUCUCUGAUGUUAAGAUGGCGGCGCCCUGUAUGGCUGCGGCUGCAUGGGCUCUCGACAACUUGCGAGUAUUUGAGCAAAAUA